rnacentral:tRNA from 1 species
UAUAAAGAUAAGCUAAAAUUAAGCUAAUGGGCCCAUACCUCAUUUAUGAGACUAAUCUCUCUUUAU